rnacentral:rRNA from 1 species
GUAGCGGCGAGCGAACGGGGAGCAGCCCAGAGCCUGAAUCAGUGUGUGUGUUAGUGGAAGCGUCUGGAAAGGCGCGCGAUACAGGGUGACAGCCCCGUACACAAAAAUGCACAUGCUGUGAGCUCGAUGAGUAGGGCGGGACACGUGGUAUCCUGUCUGAAUAUGGGGGGACCAUCCUCCAAGGCUAAAUACUCCUGACUGACCGAUAGUGAACCAGUACCGUGAGGGAAAGGCGAAAAGAACCCCGGCGAGGGGAGUGAAAAAGAACCUGAAACCGUGUACGUACAAGCAGUGGGAGCACGCUUCGGCGUGUGACUGCGUACCUUUUGUAUAAUGGGUCAGCGACUUAUAUUCUGUAGCAAGGUUAACCGAAUAGGGGAGCCGAAGGGAAACCGAGUCUUAACUGGGCGUUAAGUUGCAGGGUAUAGACCCGAAACCCGGUGAUCUAGCCAUGGGCAGGUUGAAGGUUGGGUAACACUAACUGGAGGACCGAACCGACUAAUGUUGAAAAAUUAGCGGAUGACUUGUGGCUGGGGGUGAAAGGCCAAUCAAACCGGGAGAUAGCUGGUUCUCCCCGAAAGCUAUUUAGGUAGCGCCUCGUGAAUUCAUCUCCGGGGGUAGAGCACUGUUUCGGCAAGGGGGUCAUCCCGACUUACCAACCCGAUGCAAACUGCGAAUACCGGAGAAUGUUAUCACGGGAGACACACGGCGGGUGCUAACGUCCGUCGUGAAGAGGGAAACAACCCAGACCGCCAGCUAAGGUCCCAAAGUCAUGGUUAAGUGGGAAACGAUGUGGGAAGGCCCAGACAGCCAGGAUGUUGGCUUAGAAGCAGCCAUCAUUUAAAGAAAGCGUAAUAGCUCACUGGUCGAGUCGGCCUGCGCGGAAGAUGUAACGGGGCUAAACCAUG